GCCGCUUUUGUAUGUCCAGUUAACAGCACGCAGCGGAGGGAAAGUGUACAUAGACACAUGCCACAGUCCUAGGCUACUAAAAUGUUGCAGUCUGGCUUCGGUUUUUAAACUUGACAAUGAAUCAAAACAGGAAAAACGUACUGAAUGGGGCAGUGCAUUUCCUCAAAAUCAAGGUGGUCCCUGACAGUUGGAAGACGGACAUGAACGAGAUAUUAGAAUUGUCCAGCAGCGACGAGGAGGACACGGAAGGAAAGUGGCUCCAAUCAGAGGCAGUGCCCCCUACAGGAUAACCCUGUCAUUGCAGACAGUCCAGACAGACAUGCUGCCCCCCUUCCACCCGUACCAGCCCUUGGAGUCCAUUGUGAAAGAGACAGAGUGCAAGCUGAUCUCCAGCCAUAGAGAAGACCCAUCUGCAGAAUAAGAUGAUCCUCAAGGAGCAGUAAACUAAAUAGUAAAUGAAGGCCGAAGGCCUGAACGAUGACCCGGGCAGCCCCUUCGCACUUUGGCCUCCCAGCAGUCCAGACUUUAGUACAGCAGACUACCCCGACAGCUCGAGCCCUGACCUGCUGAUGCUGAUGGUGAGUCAGCAGUAGAUGUUGGGGCAGCAGUUGACAGGCCUGGGACCGGCCUUCUCACCCAGCCCCCCGACGGACUACUAGUGGUCUUCCCCCUACAGAUCGUCACAGACACGCCGGUUGACAUCAUGGCAGAUACAGUGCCUUCCAAAAGUAUUCACAUCCUUUUCAGCACAUUUUGUUGUGUUACAAAGUGGGAUACAAAUUUAUUUAAUUAAUUGUAAUUUUUUGUCAACGACUCUAACACUUGUAGAAUUCUAACACUUGUAAAAAAAUAUACAUUUUUAAAAGGAAAAUAAAACACUUGAUUAGAUAAGUAUUCAACCCCCUGAGUUAAUACACCUUUUGCAGCAUUUACAGCAGUGAGUCUUUCUGGGUAAGUCUCUAAGAGCUUUCCGUACCUGAAUUGUACAAUAUUUGCCCAUUAUUCUUUUUUAAAUUCUUCAAGUUGGUUGUUGAUCAUAGAUAGCCAUUUUCAAGUCUUGCCAUAGAUUUUCAAGACGAUUUCUAGUCAAAACCACUCGGGAACAUUCAAUGUCGUUUUGGUAAGCAACUCUAGUGUAUAUUUGGCCUUGUGUUUUAGGAUUUUGUCCUGCUGAAAGGUGUCUGUUGGAAAGCAAACUGAACCAAGUUUUCCACUAAGAUUUUGCCUAUGCUUAGCUCUAUUCUGUUUAUUCUUAUCCGAUGACAAUACCCAAAAAAUGAUACAGCCACCACCAUGCUUGAAAAUAUGAAGAAUGGUACUUAGUGAUGUGUUGUGUUGGAUUUUCCCCAAUCAUAACGCUUUGUAUUCAGGACAAAAAAGUUCAUUUUUUUGCCACAUUUUGCCACAUUUUUUGCAGUAUUACUUUAGUGCCUUGUUGCAAACAGGAUGCAUGUUUGGGAAUAUUUGUAUCAUGUACAGGCUUCCUUCUUUACAGGCUUCCUUCUUUUCACUCAUUUAAGUUAGUAUUGUGGAGUAACUACAAUGUUGUUGAUCCAUCCUCAGUUUUCUCCUAUCACACAGCCAUUAAACUUUGCAACUGUUUUAUAAUCACCAUUGGCCUCAUGGUUAAAUCCCUGAGCUGUGUCCUUCCUCUCUGUCAAUAGAGUUACUGAAGGAUGCCUGUAUCUUUGUAGUGACUCUGUGUAUUGACAAACCAUCCAAAGUAUAAUUAAUAACUGCACCAUGCUCAAAGGGAUAUUCAAUGUCUGAUUAUUUUUUUUACACAUCUACAAAUAGGUGCCCUUCUUUGCGAACCGUUGGAAAACUUCCAUGGUCUUUCUGGUUGAAUCUGUGCUCAAAAUUCACUGCUCGACUGAGGGACUUUACAGAUACAGUGGAUUCGGAAAGUAUUCAGACCCCUUGACUUUUUCCACAUUUUGUUACCUUAGGGCUUUAUUCUAAAAAGGAUUAA